GCUCUGUCUGUCUGGAGGUUAUUUUCACUAGGAGGAUGGAUGGGGGAAAACAUCUUGGCUAGACCAUACUUACCAGUGGGAAAGCUGAGGCUAGAGGAGUUAAGUGACUUGCACAUGGUCAAAAUAAACUGCAGAAUCUUUAAGUUGAUCAAGCAAAGAAGGCUGAGGAACCAGAUAUAAAGGAAGAAAACCUGAUGAGAGAGACCUGUUGCAAAAAUCCAGGAAGGAGAGAUUCUCCAUGGGAAGGAGGUGCUAAAAGCUGAAAGAAAAAAAAAUGCAUGCUGAGAGAAACAAGCCAACAUGACUUUAGAAAUUCAAAGAUCUUUUGUAACAUUGGAGACAGUAAUUUCAGUCACUGAUGCAUUUGGUUGACAGAUUUUAAGUAGCCACGAAACAAGUGGGUGGUGAGGAAAUAAAUGCAAUUGGCGCAAACUCAUAUUCUAAAAAAACAGUAGUUUGGCAGCAAAAAGGAGGCAAGAUUUUAAAUGACGCCUUAAGUGAAUGGUAUGGUCAAGUGAAAGACUUUUCAAAAAGUGGGGAAUAUCUAGGUAUGGUUGUAAGUCAGAUAAAGAGGCCAGUGCAUAAAAGGAUAUUGAAAAAUUAGAAAAUGGUAUUAGGGGAACUCAUUGAAGGAGAGAAGUCCCAGAGAUGGAAAUGGAUGAGAUCAAGGUAUAGGGUUUGACCUUGGUGAGAAAAAGGAUUGCAUUUUUUCCUCAUAAAUUGAAGCAUAAGAAGAGAGAAAGACAAAUGAUGUUGGGAGUGGUGAAAUUUGAGGCACAGAAGGGUAUAGAAGAAGCCCAUCUGUGGGUACAUAAUAGAUAAAUUCUUGUUGAUGUAUUGAUAUGGCUUCUAUUCUUUGAUAAAGUAAAUUCACACUUUGUGUAUACUCAUACAAUAAGUAAGUGGUUAUUGAUCUUCAAAUUAUUUUUAAAUCAGCUAUCUGUAACCCUGAUGAACUGGCUGAUCAAUGCUCAGAUUGGAAUUAUAAGGUACAGAAAGUAACCUCAGGAGAUACUUAAUUAUUACAGAGUAGAACAAAAUCUUUUCCAAGGAUACACAAGAACAGGUGUCAACCAGCAGUCUCUUUGCUAGUGAGGGCAGUACCUGAAAUGCCUCAACAGGUAUGCAUCAUUCCGGGUCCCAGAUUUUUGACUCCUGGAGGCAUAUCAGCCCUGCCAGUAUAUACUGCAUGGAAUUCAUAUCAUUAGUUGUGACCAUUGCCUUGACACUGAGUGAACCUAAAGUCCCUCCUACAGGGAGAAGUUUCAAUAUGCAAAAGGAAAUCUAGAAGUGAAGAUAUUAGUAGUGUCCUUAUGACUCUGGUGAGUGUCUUAAAUGUGAUAUCUGGGACAAGUUUGGGGUGUCUUAAAUGUGAUAUCCAGGACAAGUUUGGGGAGGCUAUCUCCAUGAGUUGUGGGUGAGUGGUGCCUCCCUGGCCUGUCUCUGGUGGGAACGAGGAGCAAUUUCUGGAAGUCAUAAACUUAGAGAAGCAAAACUGACAUGACUAAUUUAUAUCAGGUAGGAUGAGUCCAUCUGUGCCUGCCAUGCUGGUGGCUUAUGGAGUCUGUAAAAGAUAUACUCUUUCAAAUCAAUUUUUAAAAUCUAUAGACUUGUGACAGCAAAGGUCAAAAACAAAUGUUUACCCAAGGCUGGUGUAAUAUUGACUUAAUCCAAAUUGUUCCAAUAACAUAUGUUGUUGUUCAUCCUUCGUUCUGGAAGAGAACCAAUGACAUCAGGAGGGUGAUGUCUUUCCAGUGAAUUGGAUUUAAGUGAGGCAGAGCUACACAAAGUAAUCAGCCUCACUUCCUUCCAGUCAUCAGAGUCCAGUGGCAAGACAUAAGUCAGUAUGACUGGAGAUGGCCCUAGAUGCA